UGGUAAAUACUAGCUAUACAUUUGGCGAUAACUAAUGACUGACGAAUAGACGUACCACUACUGCAUGGAUAAUUGGAUACAUAUAUAUCAGUACUUACGCGUAAUUGGGUAAAAUUAUUAACCCAAUUAUAUACAUGUUUUGAACAGGGAAAAACUUGUGGUCAACAAAAAAGAUAGAGGCCAUAUAUGCUCCUGCUGCAUGCAGAACUAAAUAAUAUUGACGU
rnacentral:lncRNA from 1 species